AGUGGAUCAAGUCAUUGUUGCAUUCUCUUCUCUUUUCUCGUCGACGAAGGUUCAGCAAGCGUGGUUGCCGGCCACGUUUAGGAAACCAGUGCGCAAGCCCUGCCUUUUUCAAGAAAUCAGUAUGCUCGCGACCAGUAUGAUGCAAAGGCAACUAAACGAUCUAUUCUGAAUGGUUACGAGUCUUUUCUUCAAGAAAGUGUCGAAGGUAGUCCACAGAUAAAAACGUGCUUAUUAAUAAGCUGGUGUUAAUACUAAGCUUGGGAGGUAUUGUGUUAUUAUUGUGUUACUGAGUUGUUCUAGUAUUUGACUGCCAUCAAACUUUGGAAUCUCACAGUUCUCAAGGAAUGCUUUUGAAUGGAUAAAUCUUGGAUCACUAAGUCUCGAAAUACGAUUGAAUACUCUAUUGGUUUAGAAAAAUUCUUAAAUUUUGCUUUUGAGAAUAGAGUUAUUCGAGAUACAAUUCGAUGCCCAUGUCCCAAAUGUGGAUUUAUGAAAUAGCAUAAUAGAGUCGAAGUUCACAAGCAUUUGAUUUUAAAACAAUUUCCUAAAAAUUAUGUUAUAUGGAAUUUUCAUGGUGAGAAACAAACAAAAGAUAUUUCAAGAAAUGAAAAUCCAAUGGAAACAAUGAUAAAUGAAGCAUUUGGGCAUUAUAGGCAAGAAGGUACUAAUAUAGGUAGAUCACAACCUGUGGGUGUAAACGAUGUUCUGAAUGAAAGGCCGAGGGAGAAUCAUAAUGAAUUUGCUUCAUAUACCACUGUCCCAUCAUCAUCUUCUAAUCAGUGGCAACAAAAGUUCAACAAUUUAGAAUCUCAAGUUCAAAAAACCUUGGGUGCACUUCAAGCAUACAUCAUAAUGAAGGAAGGAAAGAUUCCUGAUGAAUUGGCUUCAUUCUUUGAUCGUCAACCUUAAGAAGGUGGUGAUGCAAAUGAGCUCGAGUCUCCUUUGGGUAUAAUAGGAUCAUCUCAUGCUAGCAACAUCUAAGGAGUUUAUGAUGUCUUUUAGGAUGAAACUAUAUUUAUUCUGAAUUUUGAGUAAUUAUGAAUUUAGUUGUAAUUAUGCUUCAAUUUAACUUACUUUUAUACACUAUGGUGUUUUUGAGAAUCAAAU